UAUUGUUAUGCUAGACUUGAACAUUGAAAUUUGUAUUUACUCAAGAAUACUCUAAAUUGGGUAGUUGGUGAACUCCGACACAAAAUCAACAUUGUAUUUUACCAGUCUAUCUAAGAUGCAAUUCCAUUGAUUGCAAAACGUCAUGACGUCACUGCAGUGUUUUGAUUACUGCGAUCGUUUUGAAGUGUUUGGUGUUGGUUUAAUUUUUGCGCUGUUUUUUCCCUUUUUUCCCCCAUUAGGGUCGUUGCCUUGCUCGUUGCAGCUUUGUCCAAAGUGAAGAUAGUGCCGAUUAGGGAGCUCCACGAAAACCAGGGUUUCACCGCUUGAUUAAGGUGCAGACGAGCCAAAGCAGUUGUUUAUUCAGUCGGAAGUGCUGGGAAACUGUCGCAAAAAGGUAUAGUUGUUGACUGACCGAUUUUGGAAUCGCCCAUAUUUUUGCUAGUUCCGGCCAACGUGACGAGCGAUCCCAUGAAGGAGGUGGUGGCUUCAACGGCAAAAAAGCAAAUAAGAAAACGUCGAGCCGACUUUGCCCAUAGAAGAUGCAAACGUGCACCAGAGCUGGAACCGGUGGCUACUUUUACACUAGGGACGGAGUUUAAUCACAACGUCACGUGCUGCCAAGGAAGUGCGGACGGGGCAACGCUUCAGGUGAUUAGUGGUGACUAUGUGACGAGCUUGUGCAGGGUUUCGACGUUUCACGGCCGGCGGUGAUUGAAACAACAGCAACGGCAGCAUAACCAUAUCGAGAGCAUCGACCAGUGACAUCGUGUCGGCUGAUGACAACAUACAAAUAAUCUAUUCGACUCCACCGAGACAGAACCCAGGGAGACUUCUGCUCCUGGACUGAGUAACGACCUAAACAAUAGGUUAAACCGGGGCCAAAAUUUACUUCCCCGUCCGAUGGAAGGCGUGAUCAGACAAAUCUCGUCUCUUAAAAUGCCACCGGGACGUUCUGGAAUCGAACUCAGGCCGGGUGAGAGGAAUCCACGCUUACCCCUACACCACGAGUCCCGGAAUAAAAACUUUCUAAACGAGUCUAAAAUUUAGACGAU
rnacentral:lncRNA from 1 species